ACUAACAAUUCUGUUUUCACACUUAUCCAGCCAAGUUGCAAGAGAAACCCCUGAAGUAGUCUAAAACACAUAUUCAGUUAUCAAAAUUUUUGGUCCUCAAGUCACUUUGAUUUUACUAAAAGCAAUCAUUUGAAGGACAUCUUGUCAGCUGGAAUCCCAAACAAACAGACGAGCGUGAAACAGGAGAAAAAAGAACAGAAAAAUAAACGUGAAAGAGCUACAUAAUGUGAGAUACCAUCUACUCAAAAGUGUUUUAAUAAGCAGAUUUUGUUGAUUUAUACAUUUCUAUUGCCUGAAUAGAUUCAUUGAAUCUGUAAAACAACACCAGAUUUUAAGGGAUUUUAAACUACAUUUGCUUAAAGACACGGGGCAUUAUCCAAGGGUUGCCAUUCUGUAUGUUGAUACAGCUGUUGACCUACCAGAACCUACAUACUUGAUGAUAAUAACUCAAAAACUGUCUCUUUACCAGCCUUUACUCAAGUAGGAAAGAUUUAUUGGAGCUCUCACUGCCUUCUAUAAAACCUGCUGUUUGGUACCCAUGGAAUACCAAAUUCUCACAACUGCUAGGCCACUCUCUAGUACUGUAUAUCCAUACAAUUCUGUCCCAGACCCUGCCUUGUAUGCCUAGCAACAUGUGAAGAUUUCUAUUUCUAAAUCCAGUCAUUCCAGUUGUACUUAUUACUGUCAUUAUGCAGUCUCAUUCAAUAUUAUUAAAAGCAAUUAUUAUGGAUAUGAAGAACAAAAGAUCUACUUCCUCUACAAAAAACAAAUCAAAUGCAUUGAAAAGAGACAAUAAAGUCAGGUCACCUUAAAAAUAAAUACUGUCAUCUUAAGUUUGACCAAGACAACCAUAAAAGAUUGAGGAAGGAAAUCAGAUCAUUUAAAAAUGGGAAGAAUAGUGGUCUUAGAUUGCUUUGUAAGUUUCUGUAAGUUCCUCCUUCACCUAAGAAACUGAAGCUUCACAUGGCCAAUGAUGCUGUGUAGGUGUCACUUGUCUGUGAGAGCCAAUGAAGAACAUUAAUCAGAAGAACCAAACUCAAGAACAAGGCCAUUUCCUGCUUCACAAGGGCCAUCUUUACUUUGAAAGAUACAGAAAGACUGUGUAUAUCCUUGCUUGUGACCUUCCCAAUCAGUAGCAUCUGUUUCUAGGUCAGAUGGCAUACAAGUUCCUCCUCUGCUAAGAGUUACUGUUUUUGUGCCUCCCCAAAAAGAUAUAAUAAAAAUAAGAUUGAAUAUGGUCUUUU